CGUGUAGGCGGCUUGGUAAGUCUGGCGUGAAAUCUUGGGGCUCAACCCCAAGCGUGCGUUGGAUACUGCCUCGCUCGAGUCCGGGAGAGGAAAGCGGAAUUCCCAGUGUAGCGGUGAAAUGCGCAGAUAUUGGGAAGAACACCGGUGGCGAAGGCGGCUUUCUGGAACGGUACUGACGCUGAGACGCGAAAGCGUGGGGAGCAAACAGGAUUAGAUACCCUGGUAGUCC
rnacentral:rRNA from 1 species